AAAAGUGGACACCAAACACCCAGGACUUGGCCGCACUGUAGGCCCAGAAGGGAAGGGUCAGGAGGAAGAGGAUGUCCGCCACGGCCAGGUUGAGCAGACAUUGUCCGCUCACAUCCCCACAGCACCCCGGGAGGCAGAAAUGACAGAACGAGACCCCGCCUUUCAGGAGUUCACACUCAGUGGACGUCAGGAAGAAGGAUGAGGUCGCUCUGUGGCUCCAGCUCACUGCAUGAGUUCCUGUUUGAGUGACAGGUGAGCAGCACCUGGAGCAAACACAAGCUGCCCUCAGAUCCGGGUGGAGAAGCCCUACACCUUAGAAGCCCAUCUCUGGCCUCCUUCAGACUGUACUCCUCUCUGCCAGGUGACGGAUGAACUCAUGGCAGGUGGACACAUGAUUGCCAAUUUAUGGACGGGGAAACGGAAGCUCAGCAACAUUUGGGAGCCUUAAGUGUCCGAGCUGGGAUUCCAACCCGGAUCCGUGUAGCUCCGAGUCCGGCGGUCUCCAGCGUUGCGGCGAGAGAGUUCUGCCCACGUAGCCUCUGCUCCCCAACAGGAUUCCCGGGCUUGAGGGCCAGGAGUCGACGACUUAAACGCAUCGGAAUGAGCUUGGCAGCUGUAUUUACCUUUGGGAUAUUUAGCUUUGGGAUAUCUGGACAUUUGGGUCUCAAUUGAGGAAGGCUGUGAUGACUCAGACACUUGACAUCUUUUCAGAUGCCAACAUUUUGCCAACAUGCUUCAAAACAGUGUCUGCAAACAAUUUUUUAAAGCUUUAGAAGUAAAUCGAGUGUGCCCCUUUCCCACCUACCAUGGCCAGGGCAGACUGUAGUUCAACCUGGAGGGACUGGAGGACUCGUUUCAGUUCCAUGAUCUCGCUCUUGGCUGAGCUAGCCGCCCCAGCGUCCGUGGAGAUCUGCGUCUGCAGGGAUGCACUCUGCAAGAACAAAAUCAACAGAGUGCAGUGAAAUCAAACAAGCUCCAAUCCCGGGGCCUGGCUGUUUGGGUUCUCUCGCUUUGCCCGCUGUGAGCCACCUGCUUUUUGAACUGCUCCUCGGCCUCCCUGCGGUUUUGCUCGGCCAGCUCCUCGUACUGCUCCCGCAUGCUGUUCAGCAGCUUGGUCAGAUCUGCCCCUGGGGCCGCGUUCAUUUCCACGGUCACGUCCCCACUGGACUGUGUCUGCAAAGUGCUCAUUUCCUGGCAGAGAGGAAACACAGAAGUCACUGCAGCAAAAAUCCCUUGAGGUUGGGGACCUUUGUAGUGAAUGAUGAACCUUGUUGAACAACCUCCGUUGGUGGAUUUAUUGUCCCU